rnacentral:rRNA from 1 species
UACAGAGGGGGCAAGCGUUGUUCGGAAUUACUGGGCGUAAAGGGCGCGUAGGCGGCCUUCUAAGUCGAACGUGAAAUCCCCGGGCUCAACCCGGGAACUGCGUCCGAUACUGGAAGGCUUGAAUCCGGGAGAGGGAUGUGGAAUUCCAGGUGUAGCGGUGAAAUGCGUAGAUAUCUGGAGGAACACCGGUGGCGAAGGCGGCAUUCUGGACUGCAACUGACACUGAAAGACGAAAGCCAGGGGAGCAAACGGG